UGCAAGUCGAGGGGCAUCACGGAAAAGCUUGCUUUUCUGGUGGCGACCGGCGCACGGGUGCGGAACGCGUAUGGAACCUGCCCCUGUCAGGGGAAUAGCCCAGGGAAACUUGGAUUAAUGCCCCAUGGUACCGUUAUAUCGCAUGAUAUUUCGGUUAAAGAUUUAUCGGACAGGGAUGGCCAUGCGUACCAUUAGUUAGUUGGUGGGGUAACGGCCCACCAAGGCAGCGAUGGUUAGGGGCCCUGAGAGGGGGAUCCCCCACACUGGUACUGAGACACGGACCAGACUCCUACGGGAGGCAGCAGUGAGGAAUAUUGGACAAUGGGCGGGAGCCUGAUCCAGCCAUGCCGCGUGCAGGAUGACGGCCCUAUGGGUUGUAAACUGCUUUUAUACGGGAAGAAACGCACCUACGUGUAGGUGUCUGACGGUACCGUAAGAAUAAGGACCGGCUAACUCCGUGCCAGCAGCCGCGGUAAUACGGAGGGUCCGAGCGUUAUCCGGAAUCAUUGGGUUUAAAGGGUCCGUAGGCGGGCCUGUAAGUCAGGGGUGAAAGUUUGUGGCUCAACCAUAAAAUUGCCUUUGAUACUGCAGGUCUUGAGUCAUGGUGGGGUCGCCGGAACAUGUGGUGUAGCGGUGAAAUGCAUAGAUAUCACAUAGAACACCGAUCGCGAAGGCAGGUGACCAACCAUGUACUGACGCUGAUGGACGAAAGCGUGGGUAGCGAACGGGAUUAGAUACCCCGGUAGUCCACGCCGUAGACGAUGGAUACUAGCUGUGGGGACUUCGGUCUCCGUGGCCAAGCGAAAGUGAUAAGUAUCCCACCUGGGGAGUACGUUCGCAAGAAUGACACUCAAAGGAAUUGACGG
rnacentral:rRNA from 1 species